rnacentral:lncRNA from 1 species
CUCACGAAAAUGUAUUUUUUUUCCAUUUCAGCAUGUAGUACUUGUGUUACCUUUUCACGAGGCCCACACUCCUCCAAGGAGGCUGCUGAUUGUCUCUAAACUGAUUACCUCCAUUUGUUCUUUCCUUGAUCUUACAGUGUCCAUCAGCUUCCUAUGAUUGAAGAAAAGCUUCCACUUGUAAUAAACCAACUUCUCUCAUCCAGUUAUCAACAUAGACCAAAAAAAAAAAGAAAAAAAAAAGGCCAGGCGCAGUGGCUCAUGCCUGUAAUCCCAGCACUUUGGGAGGUCAAGGUGGGCAGAUCACUUGAAGUCAGGAGUUCAAGACCAGUCUGGCCAACAUGGUGAAACCCUGUCUCUACUAAAAAUACAGAAAUUAGCCGGGAAUUGGUGGUGCGCACCUAUAGUUCCAGCUACUCAGGAGGCUGAGGCAGGUGAAUCGCUUGAAUCCAGGAGGCGGAGGUUGCAUUGAGAGGAGAUCAUGCCACUGCACUGGGCGGCAGAGCAAAACUCUGUCUCAAGAAGAAAAAGAAAAAAGAAAAAAGCGGAGUCGUUCUGUUUGUUACGAUGGUGAAGGCAAUUUAGAAGGAACUAUUUAGUGGAGGAUAAAAGUGUUUUGUAAAUGUUAAGAUGCAUUGUUUUGUUUCUGUCCUGUUGCCCAAUUUUCUCUCAGCCCAACACCUGCCUCUAUUUGGUUCUUAGGUUACACAUUAAUUCCAUUUGCUUAGUAAUUUAAAGAAUGUACUGUAGUACACC